rnacentral:misc_RNA from 1 species
AAUAUCCGUAGCGGCCAUCUUGGUGGUUCAAAAAUAACAUAUAUAUAAGAUACGAUAUAUGUAACUCAAAUCUAUUUUUACGUCAUACGGCGUGAUUAUAACCAAAGAAUUUUGAGGUUGUGUGUGUUGCACAUAUUUUGUAAUAAAAGUGCUUGCAAUAAAGUUGUUUAUAUCUGUAAUAAAGUGCUUUGCAAUAAUAAAUUCACAUAAUAAUUCACGCAAUAUGCCUGAUUGUUAUGCAAAAGACUGCAAGAGCAGAAGACACGUAACACGAAAAAAUAAAACACAAUUGAGAUGGGAAUACUCGCAUGGCAGACUAAUUACAUUUCACAGAAUUCCAAAGAAACCACAAGUACGUAAAAAGUGGCUUGAUAGAAUGGACUUAAAUGACAGUAAUGUUCCAGAAAAUGCAUUUAUUUGCUCAUUACAUUUUGAAGAAAGUGAUAUGGACAAAACAUCACUUAAUUGUAUUAGAAUUAGAUCUGGUGCUGUCCCAUUUAAUAAUAUGAAUAUGAAAAAUGACGAGUCUCCUGUGAAACGAAAAAAAAUAUUGGACGAACAUAAUUAUAAUUUAAUGAAAGAGUAACAGAAUCUUGAUCCUGUAAAAAUACAAAAAAUACAUCACAAUGCAGAAAAAAAUUAUAUAGAUGAUCCUGAAACAUGAAUCAAAGAAGCAGAAAAUCUUGAUUCCAUGGAAAUAUGUGACAACAUUGAACAAGGUAUAUUUAUCAAUUGCAAUAGAUAAAACAAAUCAUUUUGUAGAAACACUGUUAAGUGAUAGCGGACUAUUACAAAAAUUUUAUAUUAAUAAUAAAUUGGCCAGUGAUUUUUAAUAGUUUUGUUACUAGUUACUAUAGAUUGAAUAAGAGAAUAAAAAUUUAGCAUUUCUACUCAAGAUAUGUAGUUACUUUUUUUUCCUAAUAAAAGAAUAAUGUUUA